rnacentral:rRNA from 1 species
AGAGUUUGAUCCUGGCUCAGAUUGAACGCUGGCGGCAUGCCUUACACAUGCAAGUCGAACGGCAGCACGGGAGCAAUCCUGGUGGCGAGUGGCGAACGGGUGAGUAAUAUAUCGGAACGUGCCCAGUCGUGGGGGAUAACGUAGAGAAAUUUACGCUAAUACCGCAUACGAUCUAAGGAUGAAAGCGGGGGACCGUAAGGCCUCGCGCGAUUGGAGCGGCUGAUAUCAGAUUAGGUUGUUGGUGAGGUAAAAGCUCACCAAGCCGACGAUCUGUAGCUGGUUUGAGAGAACGACCAGCCACACUGGGGCUGAGACACGGCCCAGACUCCUACGGGAGGCAGCAGUGGGGAAUUUUGGACAAUGGGCGAAAGCCUGAUCCAGCAAUGCCGCGUGCAGGAAGAAGGCCUUCGGGUUGU